rnacentral:lncRNA from 1 species
UUAAAAUCAGGAAGAAUCAACACAGGGGCUUGUGAUAGCUUCUCCUUAAUCUCCUUGAAACUUGCUUCUGCAGUUUCACUCCAUUGGAAUUUCCCUUUCUUCAAACAUUCAGUAAUUGGUGCCAUAAUAGUGCUGAAGUUCUUCACAAAUCUUCUAUAGAAAGUUUGCUAGACCAUGGAAACUUCUAACUUCAGUAAUAUUAUUUGGAGUUGGCCAAUCUCUUGUUGCAACAACUUUAGAUCAUCAACAUGAAUAACUUGUUAUGAUAAAGCCCAAGAAAAGAAGUUUCUUCUGUAGGAAAACACACUUCUUCAAAUUGAUUUAGAUCAUCAACAUGAAUAACUUGUUAUGAUAAAGCCCAAGAAAAGAAGUUUCUUCCGUAGGAAAACUGAUAGGAUUCCUAUUCCUACCAGGGACCUCCCUCAAGCUGUACUGGUGUACUGCUGGAGGUUGGCGGGGGACUGGGCGAGAGGGACGCCGUGUUCACGGCGUGGGAAAACAGGCUAGCUCAGGUUCCGGCUUCCACAGGGAAGACGGCUAGGUAAUUUCUUUGAUGAUCCUUCCUCCUGUCUUACAUCUCCUAUUUAUACUAGCCUCUCUCUCAAUAGAAGGCAACUUAUCUCUUAAUAAAAGGAAACUAAUCUCUCUGAAUAAAAGGAAGCUUAUCUCUAAAUAAAAGGAAACUCUCAAAAGGAAAUAGAUCCUAGGAUUACUGAAUUACUGCUGGCUGUCCCAGCCUUGAUCCCCUUCUCCUGCCGCAUGCCCCCUGGCCUGCUGUUUCCUUUUGUACUGCAUGCCGGUCAUAACAUCUCUCCCUGCCUGCGAAAACAGCUCGUCCUCGAGCUGGAAGUCAGGGUAGAGGUCUUUGAAUUCAGCCAGUAGUUCCCAUGUUGCUUCCUCGCGCGUCAUCCCUUGCCACUGAAUAAGAAUAUACCAGAUGUCACGGCGCAGCUGUGCUUUGAGGGUUGUCACUGGUACUGGCAGCAGUCGCCCAUCCUGGAUUGGUGGUAGUGGCGUCGGCAUGGCAGGCGGAUCUCCUUUGUGGGCUUUCAGGAGGCCCACGUGGAAGACGUCGUGGAUACGAGCACCCUCCGGCAGCUGUAGACGAUACGCCACGCUGCCGAUACGCUCCAGCACCUGGAAAGGUCCUGCAUAGCGCGGACCCAAUUUGCCCUUGGCAUGAGGAUCCAAGGACUUGGUGGUGCGAUGUAGCAAUCGCAACCAAACCCAAUCACCGGUCUUGAACUCCAUCUCCCGAUGUGUGGCAUCGUAAUACUUCUUGGAGAUCUGUUGUGCUUGAACAAGACGUUGACGGACUUCUGCCAGGACCUCAUCGCGGCUGCGAAGGAGAGCAUCCGCUGUCUCUGUCCGUGCGGUCCCUGGCUUGUAAGGCAAGAGGGCCGGAGGGGGUCGACCGUAGACCACCUCAAAGGGGGUUGCCCGCAAUGCUGUGUGAAAUGAUGUGUUGUAGCAAUAUUCCGCCCACGGCAACCAUUCCACCCAAGCGCGUGGUCGGUCACCUGUCACACAUCGAAGAUACAUGGCUAUCACCUUGUUUACCACCUCGGAUUGGCCAUCCGUCUGAGGGUGGAAAGUCGUGCUUAAGCGCAGCUUGACACCGGCUAACUUGAAGAGAUCGCGCCACACAUGGCCGGUGAACACGGGAUCCCUGUCGCUGACGAUGGAGGAGGGAAACCCAUGUAACCGGACGACGCCGUCGAAGAAGGCGCGAGCGACGGACGACGCUGUGUAAGGAUGCCCCAGCGCAAUAAAGUGCGCGUAUUUGGAGAAUCGAUCGACCACCGUGAGGAUGACAGCCUUGCCGCCCACCUUGGGAAGCCCCUCGAUGAAGUCCAUCGAAAUGUCGGCCCAUAUUUGGGACGGCACGUCGAGCGGUUGUAGAAGGCCGGCUGGGUGCAGAGUCUCGGUCUUGUUUUUCUGGCACGUUUUGCAUGUACGUACCCAUUCUUGUACCAAGGCGCGAUCGCUGGGGAUGUAGAACUCGGCACGAAGGCGGUGGAGUGUUUUCUGAACACCCUCAUGGCCUGCUGAGUGCGCCAAAGUGAGCACCUGGCGGCGCAGGUCCCCAUGGUCGGGCACGAAGAUGCGAGAUCCGUGGAGGAAGAGGCCAUCCUCCAGACGCCAAGGCGCUUCAAGGGUGCCCUCCUGCAGGCGCUGGAAAAGAUGUUGCGCGGCGUCGGUGGUGCUGGUCGCGUUCCGGAUCUCUUCCAGUAGGGCGAAGGAAGGCCCGGAGAGGGCAUGGACCGUGGCGGCCCCCUCCGAACUUAGUGCCGAAGAUGGGGACACCUCAUCACGGCGAGACAGUGCGUCCGCCACAGUAUUGAGGCGGCCCGGGCGGUACUCCACGUCGAAGUCGAAACCGAAGAGUUUGCUGAGCCAUUGAUGCUGUGGCACAGUGGACAACCGUUGAUCGAGUAGAAACUUGAGACUGUAGUGGUCCGUACGUACCCGAAAAUAGCGACCCCAAAGAUACGGUCGCCAAUGGCGCACUGCUUGAACCAACCCAAUCAACUCGCGUUCAUACGCGGCGAGUUUCAUGUGGCGUGGUGCAAAUGGUCUGCUGAAGAAAGCGAGAGGUCGCGCGCCUUGGUGAAGUACGGCGCCGAACCCCACACCAGAGGCAUCACAGUCGACUGUGAAGCACUUGUCGAAGUCCGGCAUUUGGAGCACGGGUCCGGAGGUGAGGGCGGUCUUGAGUGCUUGGAAUGCUGCUGUUGCCUCCUCAUCCCACGUGAACGCGUCUCGGCGCAGGAGACGCGUGAGUGGUGCUGCAAUCGUGCCGAAGUCGCGGAUGAAUUUGCGGUAGUAGCCCGCAAGGCCCAGGAAGCCGCGUAGGCCCCUGGCUGAGCUCGGCGUCGGCCAUGUGGAGACGGCUACCACCUUAGCCGUGUCCAUGGCUACCCCCUCCGCGGAAAUCACAUGGCCGAGGUACGCCACGGAUUUUUCCCCAAAUGAACAUUUGGAGCGCUUGACAUGUAGAUGGUGUGCUCGGAGGGCAUUGAGGACCACGCCCAAGUGCUGCAGGUGUUCGGCCCAUGUGGCACUGUAGAUUAGUAUAUCGUCAAAGAAUACCAGGACGAACCUGCGGAGAUAGGGCCGUAGCACAUCAUUCAUUAGUGCCUGGAAGGUCGCUGGGGCGUUGGAGAGGCCAAAAGGCAUCACCAAGAAUUCAUAGUGACCCUGAUGUGUGCGAAAAGCAGUCUUGGCGAUGUCAUCCGGGUGCAUUCGCACCUGGUGGUAGCCCGACCGGAGGUCGAGCUUAGUGAAGUAGCGAGCUCCAUGCAGUUCAUCGAGCAAUUCCUCAACGACGGGAAUGGGAAACUUAUCCUUAGAUGUCUUGGCGUUGAGGGCUCGGAAGUCGAUGCAGAAGCGCCAUGAGUUGUCAUGUUUCCGGACCAAGAGCACUGGAGCAGAGAACGGCGAGGUGCUUGGCCGAAUGAUGCCUUGGGCAAGCAUGGCUGCACACUGGCGUUCCAGUUCGUCCUUCUGGAGCUGGGGGUAUCUGUAGGGGCGAACCGCGACUGGAGGAGUGCCUGGAAGAAGAUGGAUGCGGUGGUCGUACGGCCGAGGUGGAGGCAGCCCGGCCGGUUCGGUGAACACCACCUCAAAUUGCUGGAGCAGGCGAUCCAUGAGUGGCUGGUCGGGUGUGGACGGUAUGGCACAUGAGGUCGGUGUGCGUGCCUGGCCCCUGCGCGAGCACAAGCCAGUCCACCGCACGGACCGGGAAGCCCGCGUGAAAGACAUGCACAUGUCCUUGAAAUUCCACAGUAUAGGUCCCAGUGUGCUGAGGAACUCUACGCCCAGGAUGAGAUCAAACUCGCCGAGGUUGAUGUCGUAACAGUUGACGCAGAAAGCUUCGGCGUUGAUGGCGAUCUCCACGUUCCGUGCUACGCCCUGGCACGGCACGCGUUCCCCGUUAGCCACCAUCACCCGAAGCGUGGGGCGGGGUUUAGUGGCUAAUUUGAGGCGGUGCAUGAUGUCGACGUUGAUGAAGUUGGUCGUCGAUCCCGAGUCGAGAAGCGCCACCACCCGAUGGCCGUGAAUGAUCACCGGCAGGAGCAUGGCCUGCUCGGUCCGGACCCCUGCAAUAGCGUGAAGGGAUACCGUCGGUGGAGGGUCGGAGUCCUGCAUGGCGUCCGCCCCUGGGACCGUGGGAUGUCCCGGCUCGCCGUGGUUGAAGGCCCCGGCGUGAUCCUCCGGUGUGAACGUGUCGUCGACGUAGUCCGCCGACUCCAGGUAGAAGAGACGCUGGCAGACGUGGCCACGGACAUAGGGUUCGUCACAAUUGUAACACAAUCCUUGCCGUCGACGUUCCAUCUGUUCCGCUGGUGUUAGCCGGCGGAACUGUCGUGUCGAUGUAGAGGAACCCGUUGAUGGCGUCGAACCCGAUGAAGGUAGCCCGUGCGGUUGUCGGGGUGGACCGGACGGCGGUGGUCGCGACGAGCUCCUCCCGCCACGUACUGGAGGAAACGCCCCUGGGCCAGCCGCACGGCGUUCGAACGCCCGUGCCAAGUGCAUGGCUGUUUGCAGGUUCUGGGGUUCGCGUAGCUCGACGUCGAUCCGUAUGUGGUCGGGCAGUCCUCCCACAAAGAGCUCCGCCUUCUGGGAUGCCGAGAGGUUGUGUGCAUGGCACAGCACCGCAUUGAAACGCUCGGCGUAGUCGUGCACCGUAGAGAUGAACGGCAACCGGGCGAGCUCCGACAGCCUCGUGCCGCGCACUGCUGGCCCGAAACGUAGGGUGCAGAGCUCGCGGAAACGGCCCCAGGCUGGCAUGCCUUCGUCUUGCUCGAGGGCGUAGUACCACGUCUGGGCGGCCCCAGUGAGAUGGUACGAUGCCAACCAGGUCCGAUCCGAGGCCGGGGUACGUUGGCCUCGGAAGAACUGCUCACAUUGGUUGAUCCAAUUGAGCGGGUCGACGGUGCCAUCAUAUGUCGGGAAAUCGAGUUUGUAGAAGCGAGGUGGCUGGGGACCGAAGCCUGGUCCCUGUCCCUGCGGAGGUGGCGCAGUGUCGUGCGACAUGGCCCCCUCAAAUUGUCCCCGGCCACCCUGGACCGAGCCGUAGGGUCCAAGGCCGUCGACGCCUCCGAAGUUGGCGCCGGUGCCGUAAGGUGGGUGAAACAUCGCUGGCAAUGGCAUGCCGGCCGCUCCCGGCGGUGUCGGGGACGUCGUCAUCGUGUACUGCGGCGCGCCCAUGGAUGCCAUCGCAUAUGAUGGGAUCGGUGAUGGUGACGCCGGCAUGGAUAGCAUGUGUAUGGGCACUCCUUGUGUUGCUGUCGCCCCGGUAUGAGGAAGGGCAUAGAGUGGCGGCUGUGGUGGGGGUAUGGUAGGUGACGGGGUUGGCUGGGAGUACAUGGAUCGCAGGAGAAAAUCCUGCAUGGCUGCCAUUGACCGGGACAGAUCGUGGACCGCUGUGGCCACAGAUUCCAGCGUGAGUAUUGGCGUAGGUGUGGUGGAAACUGGUGGAGAGAUGGUGGUGGACGGCCCUGGAACAGUGGAAGGCGAUGGUGGCGGUGGGUGGCUGGUGAAUGGAGGAUCGCUGGACAUAGCUGAUACCAGGUUGAUAGGAUUCCUAUUCCUACCAGGGACCUCCCUCAAGCUGUACUGGUGUACUGCUGGAGGUUGGCGGGGGACUGGGCGAGAGGGACGCCGGGACGCCGUGUUCACGGCGUGGGAAAACAGGCUAGCUCAGGUUCCGGCUUCCACAGGGAAGACGGCUAGGUAAUUUCUUUGAUGAUCC